UACGUAGGGUGCGAGCGUUGUCCGGAUUUAUUGGGCGUAAAGAGCUCGUAGGCGGUUUGUAGCGUCGGCCGUGAAAUCUCCACGCUUAACGUGGAGCGUGCGGUCGAUACGGGCAGACUUGAGUUCGGUAGGGGAGACUGGAAUUCCUGGUGUAGCGGUGAAAUGCGCAGAUAUCAGGAGGAACACCGGUGGCGAAGGCGGGUCUCUGGGCCGUAACUGACGCUGAGGCGCGAAAGCCAGGGGAGCGAACGGG
rnacentral:rRNA from 1 species